rnacentral:rRNA from 1 species
CCUACGGGAGGCAGCAGUGGGGAAUAUUGCACAAUGGGCGCAAGCCUGAUGCAGCCAUGCCGCGUGUGUGAAGAAGGCCUUCGGGUUGUAAAGCACUUUCAGCGGGGAGGAAGGCGGUGAGGUUAAUAACCUCAUCGAUUGACGUUACCCGCAGAAGAAGCACCGGCUAACUCCGUGCCAGCAGCCGCGGUAAUACGGAGGGUGCAAGCGUUAAUCGGAAUUACUGGGCGUAAAGCGCACGCAGGCGGUCUGUCAAGUCGGAUGUGAAAUCCCCGGGCUCAACCUGGGAACUGCAUUCGAAACUGGCAGGCUAGAGUCUUGUAGAGGGGGGUAGAAUUCCCGGUGUAGCGGUGAAAUGCGUAGAGAUCUGGAGGAAUACCGGUGGCGAAGGCGGCCCCCUGGACAAAGACUGACGCUCAGGUGCGAAAGCGUGGGGAGCAAACAGGAUUAGAUACCCGAGUAGUC